AGUGAACGCUGGCGGUAGGCCUAACACAUGCAAGUCGAACGGCAGCACAGUAAGAGCUUGCUCUUACGGGUGGCGAGUGGCGGACGGGUGAGGAAUACAUCGGAAUCUACUUUUUCGUGGGGGAUAACGUAGGGAAACUUACGCUAAUACCGCAUACGACCUACGGGUGAAAGCAGGGGAUCUUCGGACCUUGCGCGAUUGAAUGAGCCGAUGUCGGAUUAGCUAGUUGGCGGGGUAAAGGCCCACCAAGGCGACGAUCCGUAGCUGGUCUGAGAGGAUGAUAGGCGACACUGGAAGUGAGACACGGUCAAGACUCCUACGGGAGGCAGCAGUGGGGAAUAUUGGACAACGGGCGCAAGCCUGAUCCAGCCAUACCGCGUGGGUGAAGAAGGCCUUCGGGUUGUAAAGCCCUUUUGUUGGGAAAAAAAAGCAGCAGGUUAAUACCACGCUGUUCUGACGGUACCCAAAGAAGAAGCACCGGCUAACUUCGUG
rnacentral:rRNA from 1 species